CCCUUCUCAGGGUCGCACCUGGAGAGUUUCCAGUACUUUCCCAGUCUCGACUACAGGAGGGAGAAUCAAGCAGAGGCCUACCAAUUCCACUCCUAGCUUGGGCAGUGGCUAGCAAGUGGAAGGAGAUCUGCUACAAGU